rnacentral:rRNA from 1 species
GAUGAACGCUCGCGGCGUGCCUAAUACAUGCAAGUCGAGCGAACAGACGAGGAGCUUGCUCCUCUGACGUUAGCGGCGGACGGGUGAGUAACACGUGGAUAACCUACCUAUAAGACUGGGAUAACUUCGGGAAACCGGAGCUAAUACCGGAUAAUAUAUUGAACCGCAUGGUUCAAUAGUGAAAGACGGUUUUCUUUCACUUUUUAGUUGAUUCGCGCCGCAUUAGCUAGUUGGUAAGGUAACGGCUUACCAAGGCAACGAUGCGUAGCCGACCUGAGAGGGUGAUCGGCCACACUGGAACUGAGACACGGUCCAGACUCCUACGGGAGGCAGCAGUAGGGAAUCUUCCGCAAUGGGCGAAAGCCUGACGGAGCAACGCCGCGUGAGUGAUGAAGGUCUUCGGAUCGUAAAACUCUGUUAUUAGGGAAGAACAAAUGUGUAAGUAACUAUGCACGUCUUGACGGUACCUAAUCAGAAAGCCACGGCUAACUACGUG